GACGAACGCUGGCGGCGUGCUUAACACAUGCAAGUCGAACGGAAAGGCCUGCUUUCCCUUGUGGAUUGCGGGUACUCGAGUGGCGAACGGGUGAGUAACACGUGAGUGAUCUGCCCCCAACUUGGGUAUAAGCCUGGGAGACUGGGUCUAAUUCCCGAUAGGACUGCAGGGUGGUGCCUGUGGUGGAAAACGAUUUUCUAGUGGUUGGGGAUGAGCUCGCGGCUUAUCAGCUUGUUGGUGGGGUAAUGGCCUACCAAGGCGGCGACGGGUAGCGGGCCUGGGAAGGUUGACGGUGAUAGUAGGGCUGGGUGACUGCCAUAACGCCUGCGAGGGGCAGCAUAGGGGAAUAUUGUAGAAUGGGCGGAAGCCUGUUGCAGCGAUGCAGCGGGGGUGAUGUCGGCCGUCGGGUUGUAGCCGCCUUUCGACCGCGAGGAAGCCACCGGGUUGGAAGUGGCGUGACGGUAGUGGUAGAAGAAGCACCGGCUAACUACGUG
rnacentral:rRNA from 1 species